rnacentral:tRNA from 1 species
CGGGGUGUAGCUCAGGGGCUAGAGCGCUUGCUUUGGGAGCAAGAUGUCGGAGGUUCAAUUCCUCUCACCCCGA